rnacentral:tRNA from 1 species
GAAGGUAUAGCUCAAGUGGUAGAGUGCGUGCUUAGCAUGCAUGAGGUCCUGGGUUCAACCCCAGUGCCUCCA